UGAGGAAUAUUGGUCAAUGGGCGGAAGCCUGAACCAGCCAAGUAGCGUGAAGGACGACUGCCCUAUGGGUUGUAAACUUCUUUUAUGCGGGGAUAAAGUUCGCCACGUGUGGCGUUUUGCAGGUACCGCAUGAAUAAGGACCGGCUAAUUCCGUGCCAGCAGCCGCGGUAAUACGGAAGGUCCAGGCGUUAUCCGGAUUCAUUGGGUUUAAAGGGAGCGUAGGCCGCCUUUUAAGCGUGUUGUGAAAUGUAGGGGCUCAACCCCUGCACUGCAGCGCGAACUGGAGGGCUUGAGUACACACAAAGUAGGCGGAAUUCAUGGUGUAGCGGUGAAAUGCUUAGAUAUCAUGAAGAACCCCGAUUGCGAAGGCAGCUUACUGGAGUGUAACUGACGCUGAAGCUCGAAAGCGCGGGUAUCGAACAGG
rnacentral:rRNA from 1 species